GCUGGCAUAGCUCAGUUGGUAGAGCUACUGAUUUGUAAUCAGCAGGUCGGAGGUUCGAGUCCCUCUGCCAGCUCCA
rnacentral:tRNA from 1 species